UGGAGCCUGCGGUUAAUUGGACUCAACGCCGGGCAGCUCACCGGAUAAGACAGCUGGAUGAUAGCCGGGCUGAAGACUCUGCUUGACUAGCUGAGAGGAGGUGCAUGGCCGUCGUCAGUUCGUACUGUGAAGCAUCCUGUUAAGUCAGGCAACGAGCGAGACCCACGCCAACAGUUGCCAGCAUGUCCUCCGGGAUGAUGGGGACACUGUUGGGACCGCCUCUGCUAAAGAGGAGGAAGGAAUGGGCAACGGUAGGUCAGCAUGCCCCGAAUUAUCCGGGCUACACGCGGGCUACAAUGGUCAGGACAAUGGGUAUCGACACCGAGAGGUGGAGGCAAUCUCCUAAACCUGUCCUUAGUUCGGAUUGUGGGCUGCAACUCGCCCACAUGAAGCUGGAAUCCGUAGUAAUCGCGUUUCAAAAUAGCGCGGUGAAUAUGUCCCUGCUCCUU
rnacentral:rRNA from 1 species